rnacentral:rRNA from 1 species
CAAUAGCGUAUAUUUAAGUUGUUGCAGUUAAAAAGCUCGUAGUUGGAUUUCGGGUGGGGCUUUCCGGUCCGUCUUUGAGAUGUGCACUGGUGAGUCCUAUCUUCUUGUCGGGGACUAGCUCCUGGGCUUCACUGUCCGGGACUGGGAGCCGACGAAGUUACUUUGAGUAAAUUAGAGUGUUCAAAGCAAGCCUACGCUCUGAAUAUAUUAGCAUGGAAUAACACGAUAGGACUCUGGCUUAUCUUGUUGGUCUGUGAGACCAGAGUAAUGAUUAAGAGGGACAGUCGGGGACAUUCGUAUUUCAUUGUCAGAGGUGAAAUUCUUGGAUUUAUGAAAGACGAACUUCUGCGAAAGCAUUUGUCAAGGAUGUUUNCAUUA